rnacentral:rRNA from 1 species
AGUGAACGCUGGCGGUAGGCCUAACACAUGCAAGUCGAACGGCAGCACAGUAAGAGCUUGCUCUUACGGGUGGCGAGUGGCGGACGGGUGAGGAAUACAUCGGAAUCUACUUUUUCGUGGGGGAUAACGUAGGGAAACUUACGCUAAUACCGCAUACGACCUACGGGUGAAAGCAGGGGAUCUUCGGACCUUGCGCGUUUGAAUGAGCCGAUGUCGGAUUAGCUAGUUGGCGGGGUAAAGGCCCACCAAGGCGACGAUCCGUAGCUGGUCUGAGAGGAUGAUCAGCCAAACUGGAACUGAGACACGGUACAGACUCCUACGGGAGGGAGCAGUGGGGAAUAUUGGACAAUGGGCGCAAGCCUGAUCCAGCCAUACCGCGUGGGUGAAGAAGGCCUUCGGGUUGUAAAGCCCUUUUGUUGGGAAAGAAAAGCAGCAGGUUAAUACCCCGCUGUUCUGACGGUACCCAAAGAAUAAGCACCGGCUAACUUCGUG